rnacentral:rRNA from 1 species
GAUGAACGCUGGCGGCGUGCCUAAUACAUGCAAGUCGAGCGAACAGACGAGGAGCUUGCUCCUCUGACGUUAGCGGCGGACGGGUGAGUAACACGUGGAUAACCUACCUAUAAGAUUGGGAUAACUUCGGGAAACCGGAGCUAAUACCGGAUAAUAUAUUGAACCGCAUGGUUCAAUAGUGAAAGACGGUUUUGCUGUCACUUAUGGAUGGAUCCGCGCCGCAUUAGCUAGUUGGUAAGGUAACGGCUUACCAAGGCAACGAUGCGUAGCCGACCUGAGAGGGUGAUCGGCCACACUGGAACUGAGACACGGUCCAGACUCCUACGGGAGGCAGCAGUAGGGAAUCUUCCGCAAUGGGCGAAAGCCUGACGGAGCAACGCCGCGUGAGUGAUGAAGGUCUUCGGAUCGUAAAACUCUGUUAUUAGGGAAGAACAAAUGUGUAAGUAACUAUGCACGUCUUGACGGUACCUAAUCAGAAAGCCACGGCUAACUACGUG